rnacentral:ncRNA from 1 species
UUACGGUGCACGCGCCGCAGUGACGGGAAGCCGGUGAGAAUCCGGCGCGGUCCUCGCCACUGUGACCGGGAAGCGAUCCCCGCCGAGCACGUCACUGGUCCCCGCCGGGACUGGGAAGACGCGGGGGCAGCGUUGAUCCGGAAGUCAGGAGACCGGCUGCGGCGCCGCAAGGAGA